rfam:Gossypium hirsutum cultivar TM-1 unplaced genomic scaffold scaffold4672.1, whole genome shotgun sequence
UUAUUUGGCCGAAUUUGCGCGAGAGUAGCUAAGCGUUCUUGGCCGAGAGUAGUACUUGGAUUGGUGACCUCUUGGGAAGUCCUCGUGUCGCACCCC